GCACGGUUGGUCUAGUGGUAAGAUUAUUGCCUUGUGAGCAGCAGGCCCUGGGUUCGGACCCAUCUGACGGCGACA